GGGGGGUGCAAGCGUUGUUCGGAAUUAUUGGGCGUAAAGCGCGUGUAGGCGGUUUGUUAAGUCUGUUGUGAAAGCCCUGGGCUCAACCCAGGAAGUGCACUGGAUACUGGCAGACUUGAAUACGGGAGAGGGUAGUGGAAUUCCUGGCGUAGGAGUGAAAUCCGUAGAUAUCAGGAGGAACACCGGUGGCGAAGGCGGCUACCUGGACCGAUAUUGACGCUGAGACGCGAAAGCGUGGGUAGCAAACAGGAUUAGAUACCCUGGUAGUCCACGCCGUAAACGAUGAGUACUAGGUGUUGCGGGUAUUGACCCCUGCAGUGCCGCAGCUAACGCAUUAAGUACUCCGCCUGGGAAGUACGGUCGCAAGACUA
rnacentral:rRNA from 1 species